UGCUGAUACAAUAUAAAAAAUACAGAAUUAAUGACAUCUAAAUCUGAAUUAAUAAGAUGUGCCGUUCAGAUUGAAAGCAGUUUGACAUCUUUUCACAUCUUUUUCAAUACGAGAAAAAUUAAUUCAGAGUUCUUCAAAAUAUGAACAUUUUUUGACAGGUAAAACUUUUCAGAUAAACUUUUUCAAUGAAAAUAGAAGCAUUCAUUCCACAGAAAAGUUUUCUCAGGGGAAAGCCAUUUAAUCACAAGCUAUAUAUAACACAGGAAAUAGCAUCCUUUGUUGAAUCACUAGCUGCCACAAAGAGUCCUCAGUUUUCUAUAGUGGUCCUGUCCCUGCUGAGAGUGAGAGAUUCCUCAUGUCCAUGGCCCUGCAAAGGUUUAAAUUAAACCUACCUUACACACAUUGUGGGAGGCUGAAUUUAAUUUAAUGGCUUCAGCCCAAAAUCCAGAGAGAUACAUGUUCUCUGAAGACACUUCCACAAGACAAUUUGGAGGAGAGUGAGCUGGUGACUCUGUGGUGGUUGGCUGCCUACAAGGGUCAAAUCACAACAAUCCUUUUGACAUGAGUGGCCCAACUCUAUGGUAUGUGAACAUUUGUGUGAUGUAUUCUACAG
ensembl:lncRNA